UGCACGUCGAACGGUAACAUUUCUAGCUUGCUAGAAGAUGACGAGUGGCGGACGGGUGAGUAAUGCUUGGGAACUUGCCUUUGCGAGGGGGAUAACAGUUGGAAACGACUGCUAAUACCGCAUAAUGUCUUCGGACCAAACGGGGCUUAGGCUCCGGCGCAAAGAGAGGCCCAAGUGAGAUUAGCUAGUUGGUAAGGUAACGGCUUACCAAGGCGACGAUCUCUAGCUGUUCUGAGAGGAAGAUCAGCCACACUGGGACUGAGACACGGCCCAGACUCCUACGGGAGGCAGCAGUGGGGAAUAUUGCACAAUGGGGGAAACCCUGAUGCAGCCAUGCCGCGUGUGUGAAGAAGGCCUUCGGGUUGUAAAGCACUUUCAGUUGUGAGGAAAAGUUAGUAGUUAAUACCUGCUAGCCGUGACGUUAACAACAGAAGAAGCACCGGCUAACUCCGUGCCAGCAGCCGCGGUAAUACGGAGGGUGCGAGCGUUAAUCGGAAUUACUGGGCGUAAAGCGCACGCAGGCGGUUUGUUAAGCUAGAUGUGAAAGCCCCGGGCUCAACCUGGGAUGGUCAUUUAGAACUGGCAGACUAGAGUCUUGGAGAGGGGAGUGGAAUUCCAGGUGUAGCGGUGAAAUGCGUAGAUAUCUGGAGGAACAUCAGUGGCGAAGGCGACUCUCUGGCCAAAGACUGACGCUCAUGUGCGAAAGUGUGGGUAGCGAACAGGAUUAGAUACCCUGGUAGUCCACACCGUAAACGCUGUCUACUAGCUGUGUGUGUCUUUAAGACGUGCGUAGCGAAGCUAACGCGCUAAGUAGACCGCCUGGGGAGUACGGCCGCAAGGUUAAAACUCAAAUGAAUUGACGGGGGCCCGCACAGCGGUGGAGCAUGUGAUUUUAUUCGAUGCAACGCGAGAACCCUACCUACACUUGACAUGCUGAGAGGUUACUAAGAGAUAGUUUCGUGCCUUUCGGGAACUCAGACACAGGUGCUUGCAUGGCUGUCGUCAGCUCGUGUCGUGGAGAUGGUGGGUUAAAGUCUC
rnacentral:rRNA from 1 species